rnacentral:lncRNA from 1 species
CCGUGAUAAAAAAAAGCUACGCAACUACUUGAAAGAUGAAGGCUGAAAAAGAAAUCAAUCUUGUGCGAGUCACCGAUUAAAAUCUCCUCAACUCUAAUGCUACGUUUGGAUUGGAUUGGAGUAAUGAAGGUGAGAAUAUAAUGAUUAUUUCAUAUGAAAUGAAAAAAUAUUGUGUUUGAUUACGAUUUGAAUAAAAAAAAUUAUGUUUGAUUCCUUGAAGGAUGGAGAACAUAUAGAAUAAUUCAUUUCAACCAGAAUGGAAUGAAUCAUUCCAACUCUUUAUUUCAUUCCUACAAUCCAAACGCAACAUAAGACAUUAAUCCAUUUUUUGUAUCUCAUCAAAUACUUCCAUCUUUCUUUUAGCUCCAUCAGCAAAAUAAGAUGCAAGCUUUGCUAUGUUUUCGUUUGAACUUUCGUACAAACUUCCCAACUUAUUUGACAUAGCUGCUAACCAACCCUCACUACUUCGACUUCUCUUCCUUCGGAAUUGAUUAGAUGGUCCUGCACUUUGAGUUGUAAGAGCUUGAUUACGUUGAUAAACCCAUCAAUUUCUUCCAAUCCAAUGUCAGAAAACGAACAUAGAAGGAGCAAAGAAUUAGAUAAGGUGCCCCCCUAGGGUUCAGCCACCUAGGGGGUGCACCACUUCAUUUUCUUGAAAGUCAUGCCGAACAAGUUUUGAGCAGUGCAAUGAUGGAAUAACGAAUCUGAACCACCGAAAGAAGCUAGGGAACUUGUGAAGCUCUAGAAAUGGUUGGCCUUAAAGCCUCCAUAACAAGAGAACCUUUUCACAUGGCCAAAAAUUAGAAGAAAGGAUAAAAAUUGAUCGAGAAAAGCCAAGAUGAACGAAAAAAAGCCGAAGGAGGCACAAACCUAGGGUUCGGCCUCCCUUGUUUUGUGUUGUGCUCUUCUAGGGUUUUCGACGACG